AACGAACGCUGGCGGCAUGCCUAACACAUGCAAGUCGAACGAAGUCUUCGGACUUAGUGGCGCACGGGGUGCGUAACGCGUGGGAAUCUGCCCUUGGGUGCGGAAUAACUUCUCGAAAGGGAUGCUAAAUACCGCAUAAUGUCGUAAGACCAAAGAUUUAUCGCCCAAGGAUGAGCCCGCGUAAGAUUAGCUAGUUGGUGGGGUAAAAGCCUACCAAGGCGACGAUCUUUAGCUGGUCUGAGAGGAUGAUCAGCCACACUGGGACUGAGACACGGCCCAGACUCCUACGGGAGGCAGCAGUGGGGAAUAUUGGACAAUGGGCGAAAGCCUGAUCCAGCAAUGCCGCGUGAGUGAUGAAGGCCUUAGGGUUGUAAAGCUCUUCGUCGGGGAAGAUAAU
rnacentral:rRNA from 1 species